rnacentral:rRNA from 1 species
GAUGAACGCUGGCGGCGUGCCUAAUACAUGCAAGUCGAGCGAACGGACGAGAAGCUUGCUUCUCUGAUGUUAGCGGCAGACGGGUGAGUAACACGUGGAUAACCUACCUAUAAGACUGGGAUAACUUCGGGAAACCGUAGCUAAUACCGGAUAAUAUUUUGAACCGCAUGGUUCAAAAGUGAAAGACGGUCUUGCUGUCACUUAUAGAUGGAUCCGCGCUGCAUUAGCUAGUUGGUAAGGUAACGGCUUACCAAGGCAACGAUGCAUAGCCGACCUGAGAGGGUGAUCGGCCACACUGGAACUGAGACACGGUCCAGACUCCUACGGGAGGCAGCAGUAGGGAAUCUUCCGCAAUGGGCGAAAGCCUGACGGAGCAACGCCGCGUGAGUGAUGAAGGUCUUCGGAUCGGAAAACUCUGUUAUUAGGGAAGAACAUAUGUGUAAGUAACUGUGCACAUCUUGACGGGACCUAAUCAGAAAGCCACGGCUAACUACG